UACGAAGGGGGCUAGCGUUGCUCGGAAUCACUGGGCGUAAAGCGCACGUAGGCGGCUUCUUAAGUCAGGGGUGAAAUCCUGGAGCUCAACUCCAGAACUGCCUUUGAUACUGAGGAGCUUGAGUCCGGGAGAGGUGAGUGGAACUGCGAGUGUAGAGGUGAAAUUCGUAGAUAUUCGCAAGAACACCAGUGGCGAAGGCGGCUCACUGGCCCGGUACUGACGCUGAGGUGCGAAAGCGUGAGGAGCAAACAGG
rnacentral:rRNA from 1 species